rnacentral:rRNA from 1 species
AUGAAUGAACCCAUCGACUGGUCAGUCUAUGCCCAAGAUGUUGACGAAGCCACAGAGGGAAUAUUCAAAGUUAUUCAGCUCAAGUAUAACUGGAGGGUCAUAUGUUUUGAUAGUUGGAAUGGAUUUGGAGCAUCCGCUGUUCUUGGAUCAGUAGCUGCAGUGCUUCCAUCUAGGAGAACCACUCUGGAACCUCUUGACAAAAUAAUCUUUGUAGAUUGCUCAAAGUGGAAAAAUAGAAGAGGAGUGCAGAGGGCAAUUGCAGAGGAACUACAACUUGAUCGCUCUGUAAUGGCUAUUCUAGAUGAGCAAGAUGAAGAUGAUGAUUUUUGGGGACAUGGUGAAAGCUCGAGGAUUGAGAUAUAUAGUGUUAGUCAAGUAAUUCAUCGGAUCCUGAGGAAUGUCAAAUUUAUAAUGAUUUUUCUUAAUGGGAGUGAUGACGAAGUUGACGUAGGUCUCAUGGGUAUUCCUCUAGGAAGGUAUUAUGAAAACAGCAUGAUGAUAUGGGCCUUCAGCAGAAGCCGCCUGAUGAUGCUUGACGACCAUUCCGAGGUAGCAAAAAAGCUAAGAUAUACUCAGGUUUUCUGUCAUUGCUCUAUCAAAGACAUGAGAAGCUCUCAGUUUCGUGGACUGCUACAUCAAGAAGCUGCUACCAUCGUUGCUCGCAACCCAUGUAUGAUGGACAUUGACCCAACAAUUGUUGCAGAUUGCUGUCUCUAUGAGUUAUUCCUGCACUAUAAUUUCCACACCUUCAGUAAACUUGGUUGGGUUUCUCAUGCUUCCAACUAUUGGAUAUGCAACGCAACCAUACAAGGGGACAGAGCAAGGGAUAUCAGUAAUGCAUUGCAUCGAGAGAUAAAUUGGAAGUGUGACACUUUUCUGCUUGACCAUGUUCUUAAAAUGUUCAUGAAACAUUCGGAGCCUCCUUUUUUGGUAAUUAAAGAUGAUGAUGUCUAUGAAGAAGGCCCAUACAAUUGGAUUUCGGUCACGUCAAGAGAUGCAGAAGUACAUGGUAUGAAGACAAUACCUGCAACGGCAUCAUCUUUCUUCUUGGCAUUUGAAAUAUCCAAACACCCACCAGCUUUACCAGAUGGAUUUUUUGAUCAUUGCAGCAAGCUCGGCGUGCUGGUUCUCUACUGUUGUUCCUUCAGUUUUGCUUCACCUUCUUUCCUGGAGUGUCGUGGCCUAAGAUUCCUUGGACUGGACCAUUGUACAGAUGACAAAACUAUUGGAGGAGAGAAUCAUGCAGUUUGGUUAAGUCUGUAUAGCUUGUGGGUGCUGGACCUGCGUUACACCGAUUGGAAUGAAAUCUUAUCCAAGGAAAUGUUAAAUCUCAUGAAAAAUAUCAGAGAGUUAAAUAUAGAGGGAGUCAGGGGCUGGCAAUACACUACUGAGCUACAAGGGCGAUUACCUACCCUCCAGAGGCUCAGAAUAAUGAAACCGACGUGUCAAUGGGAGACCUCAGAGGAUGUCGAUAACUCCUUUACGGAUAAGAAAAGUAUAGAAAUACUUGACUUGUCUGGCAAUUGUGACAUGAAAAUUCUUCCACCAAGCCUAUCGAAGGCAACUAGCCUCCGGUUGCUUGUACUUGAUGGUUGUGAUGGACUAGAAAGCAUUGGUAGGCUCCCUCCCUCCCUUGAAUCAUUUAGCUUCAAUGGAUAUGGGCCAGCUUCUCAAUGGACAGAAACUGCUGAGCUACCUUCAAAACAAUUUCUUCCAUCCAGCAGAACAGAUAAUAAGGAUGUCAGAAUAUCCAAGAUCUCCUUAGCAGGCUGCACCCAGUUGGGGAAUUUGUACUUGUGUUGGCUACCCAACCUAGUGGAAUUGGACCUCUCUGGAACAUCAAUCAAGAUACUUGACUUCAAGACUAUGGUGGUGCAAAUCCCAAGGCUCAAGCGGCUGUUUCUAAUAGGAUGCAAGCACCUUCGUGCAAUAACCUUUUUGCACGAGAGUGUUCCUGACCUGGAGUUGCUGUGUGUAGACACACGAGCUGGAAUCGUGUGUCCUCUUCGGCCAUCCAUCAGCAAAAACAAACCUUUCAGGUUGCAGGUGCAUGGUGUUGUUGUAGAUGCAAGGCUUACUCACUCCUUGUCGAAUCUGAUCUUUAAUUAUAUACAAGGUGAUGUGCACUUUAAUAUCCAUGUCACAUCCUCACCUAUGUAUGACGGGGUUAUUCAAUUUGAAGCAACCAGCAAGGAUAUGAUUGGCCCCAGUGAUCAAGAGAGCCUGCAACUUAUUCCAACAGGCCGGUACAGUGAUGUCCUUGGGAUGGUUGGCGUUGUCCCAGUGCAGGCCUUUCCACAGCCUCCGACUACAAAGUUUGAUCGACAUGUAGAGAUUGCUGAUGGGAGCUUCUAUGUGGAGAGAGAACUUGACGAAGCACUAGGCGAACUGAUGGAAAAGCGUGCAGAAUCCCUGCAUGUGCAUGAUGUCUUGGUACAUGCUAUUCUGCCUAAAUACAGAUCGUGGAUGAAGCUUAGGUGGUGCUGCGUGGAGAGGUGCCCAAAAGUGGAUACUGUCUUCCCUGGGAAUCCAUACAGAUUUACUGCAUUGGAGACCUUCUGGGUGUCAGAUGUCCUAAUGGCCCGCUCGAUUUUUAGUAAAGGUUCACGCUUUAACCGAUAUGGUGAGAUUGGAUCCUUCAAAAAUUUACAGCACCUUCAGCUGCGUUCAUGCCCCAGCCUCCAGUUUGUGCUCCCUCUCUGGGUCUCCUCCUUCCCCAGCUUGGAGACCCUCCACAUCAUCCACUGCGGCGACCUCAACCACAUCUUCAUACUGGACGAAGAGUACCCUGAAGAAAUAACUAGCCACGGUGUACUAUUCCCGAAGCUGACCGCCAUCCACAUGCACGACCUACCGAAGCUGCAGGAGAUAUGCGAGGUCAAGAUGGUGGCCCCAAUGCUUGAGAGCCUCAAGAUCAGGGGAUGCUGGAGCCUGCGCCGGCUGCCAUCCGUGGGUGCCCGUGGCCAAGGCGAGAAGAAGCCGACGGUCGAGAUCGAGAAGGACGUGUGCGACGCUCUAGAGUGGGAUGCCGGUCACCACCCUGACCACUUCGAGGCACCGGUCCACUCGCGCUACUACAAGGAGAAGCUGCCCAGGGUCUCAGUGCUCAGGUGA